CAACAUCAAGCUACCAUGUUGUUCAGCAGCCAGCUGUUCUGGAUCUACAUCAUAAAACUUCGGAGACUCUGCAGUGUUCACUUGUCUCUCAGACUGAGACAGAGACUUGUGCAGGAGAUCCCAGUGUGUUCUGGUUCAGAACCGGAUCAGACAAGAACUCUCCUGAUCUCAUCUACAGUGAUGGAAAAAUGCCUGAAAAUUGUGAGAAGACGUCAAACACUCAGAAGAAAUGUAGAUAUAAUUUCUCUAAGAACAUCAACUCCUCUGAUGUUGGGACUUAUCACUGUGCUGUGGCCACAUGCAAAGAGAUAUUUAUUGGAAAUGGAACCAGAAUCGAAAGCGCUCAUUCAUCCUGUUAUGAAGUUAUGUUGCUGCUGGUGGUCACAGGAAUCUGCUUGACCAUUUGUGUGAUUGUGAUUAUUGUUUUAAUCUGUUGCCAAACUCAAAGAACACCAUGCAAAAACUUUACAGGUAAGUAUUAAUCAAACAAAUAGGAAGUUUAUUUCAAAAGAGAAAAAAAUGAAGAUAAUUUCAGAAUGCAUAUUGCUUUUUAUACCAUGUGUCUAGAAAACACAACACAAUGACACAGAUGAUAUUAUGAGUAAACACAUCUAAUUUUGUUUGUGAAUUCAAAAUGAAAAAAAAAAACACAACUGGAUACAACAAAAUGUAUAUUUUGAUUUAAAUAUUAUGCUUCCUCUCAGACAGAAGAUGGAGAUCAUGUGACCUAUGCUGCCUUGCAUUUCUCCACAGAGAUGACAAAAAAGAGAGAGCUGAAGACUGAAGAAAGUGUAUAUUCAAAUGUCAGAGAACUGACUUAAAUAUAAUCAUGUUCAAUAAAGUUGGAUAUGGCUUCCAAUGAAACUUGA